rnacentral:rRNA from 1 species
UACGUAGGCAGCGAGCGUUGUUCGGAGUUACUGGGCGUAAAGGGUGUGUAGGCGGCUUUGCAAGACAGAUGUGAAAUCCCCGGGCUCAACCUGGGAACUGCAUUUGUGACUGCAUGGCUAGAGUACGGUAGAGGGGGAUGGAAUUCCGCGUGUAGCAGUGAAAUGCGUAGAUAUGCGGAGGAGCACCGAUGGCGAAGGCAAUCCCCUGGACCUGUACUGACGCUCAUGCACGAAAGCGUGGGGAGCAAACAGG